CUUGUUUUUUCGCAAGUUUCAAUCGUUUUUUUCCUAUUCUUCAAUCAAACACGAAAACAAUAAAAUGAUGUCGGGUCAGGCUCGACUUUCACGGCUGGAAAUGAUGCUGGAAAACGAUUGAAACAUCAUUUUCGAUUAUAAUUUAAUCCCUCGAAAAGCCAUUCGAUAUUUAAUCAAAUCGACGAUGUUUCAGGUACGAGAAUCAGGCGUUUUCCAUGGGGCAGGCUUGCUCACGAAAUAGUAUCAUUUUCGAGAGUGCCUACUGGAUUCUGCAUGGUAUGUGCGAUAGGAAUGUCAAGGGCUGGGAUGGAGCGCAGGUGAAUAUGGCACGAGAGAGAGAGAGAGAGAGACAGCUCGACGAGCACACUAAAGUAAGAGGGUGUGAAGCAUAAGGGGGAAGUUGAGUGUGCAGGAUGAGGAAUGGCGAGGAGGCCACAUUGACUCCCCCCUAAAGCGACUGAGGGGUUGAUGAGCCGAGUUAAACUCCUGCACGUUUAUCGAGGACUUUAAAUGCUUCGUGAUGCCAAAAGUCACUGGGACGAUUGCAAGGAGUCUCGUUUCGUCUGGAAUUGCUCAUUUUUUUCAUGCUUCCUUUUAUUCAUCGAAAUCGACGAUCGAAGCAAGGAGCCGCCCGAAUUUGAAAAAUUCUUGGAAGCGAUCGCAACGACGAUCGAAAAAUAUUCGAAAAGCUCAAUGAAGCCGAUGAAAGUUUACCCAGAAAGCCCCAUACGCGACCGAGAGGACUGCGAGAGAAAAACAUUUACUUUGAAAUUGAAGCUGGAAAUCUCCGGGCGACAUUACGCCGGCACAUACUCGAGCUUUACUACUUCAUCCAACGAGUAUGAAACAUGCCAUUCGAAGAGAUUCUUUGAUGCAUUCGGUCAUUCACGAAUUUUAUCCUUCAGCAACGACGCGGAAUUGGAACAAGAUUUAUUGAUGACAUAUUUGAGGAAGGAGGAACGAAGACGAGCGAGCGAACACCGCGAUUUCCACCUGUUUCUUCGACUCUUCCCAUUUAUUCUUACUCAACCAAGAAUUAUUGAGAGAAUUACGUCGUGUAUUCGACAUGACACUCGACCCGAUCCGCGGUAUCCCACUCCGGGAAACAACUCUUGGAAAAUACUUUAUUAUUUCCGCCCUCGCGAAGCAAAGUCUACGGAAAAACUGAUAUGUACGCAGGCUACAGAAUAAUAUUUAAAAGCGAAUAGAUAAAUUGAGGAAAUAAUGAAGUUCGCUGAUGCAGAAACGAAGGCGUGGGUGAGGAAAAUGUUAUUUAGAGUCUCGACCUUCCAGGGAACGAAGAUGCAACGUUACGGGACCUUUUUUCUGAUAAUGCAGAGCACAAAGUGAAGGUCGAAUAAAAAUAUCAGUCUACGUUCAUUCCGGACUUUGAGAUUUCUGUCCACGAAAUUAAUCGGAAUCGACGAGAUGCAGCGUUUCCGAGUUGAAUAUUGCGAAUGAAAUUUGAUGCGAGCGGAGAACCGAGGUGACAAAAAGUUACGUAAAAGUUCAGUGGCACUUUUGCACGGUGAGUUCGACACCGAACUGGCCAUUUUUUGUCGACGAUUGUGAACAACGCGCGAGCAAAGUUGGGCCGCAUGUUCCUUGUAAUUAAAAGCCUGUGGAUACUCACAAAAUUUUCCAACAUUUUCGAUAAACCGUCUCCAUUUUAAACAACUCAUUGGAGAAUGGAAAACUGGACAAAUUUUCUCGUAAGAAUAUUUCUAUUACGAUUCGUAAUAAAAAUUCGAAAUACUGUAACGACGAGUCGAACUAAUUCACCGUUUCGUACGCUCCGUUUACGAAGUUUUCCCUCGACUUUGUCGAGUUAUUCGAACGACGCUA
rnacentral:lncRNA from 1 species